rnacentral:lncRNA from 1 species
CGCCCCCGGGGAAGCCCUUUUUUAAACGGGAGGGUCCCAAUUCUUCAGGCGGACAAGGAUGGCUUUUCAGGACCUGCUACCUGCAAGCAUCCACAGACCUAUCUCUUGACGCCAGGACCCCUCACUUCUGUUCCACCAGAGCCACCCCCGCAAUCCCCAAGCUACGCCCGCUUCCCGCCCCUGUGUGUUUGCACACUUCCAGUUUCAUUUCCUAGGGAAGUUCCCCUUUCCGGCCGGAGGCUGUUCUCAGGCCUUCUUUGGGUCCAUCGUCCCACAUCACUGCACGGUGGGGACUCUCAGAACUACUCAGCCCUACACCGAUUUAUACCUAGAAAUAGUAAUGGCUGCCACCAGCUGGACCAAAACAAGGAUGCCUGGGAGGGCGCAGGGCCCGAGCGCUCUACCGGGCGUGUCCCCUCAGGGCCACCGUCCGCAGUCCAGUUUCCGCCUUGUCUUAAAACGUCCACCCCGUGGUUGCGUCACAGGAGGACGGGUUCUAACCAAGUUUGCGGCGUCUAUUGGCUGCCCGCGGUGACGGGAGGCGGGGCGAAGCAUCGGCGUGACGUCAAGACGCCGCGGUCCGGACGUCGAAACUUAAAGACAGGAGCCAGCCGGGUCAAGAGCACUCGCGGAGCCCUGUUGCCGUCGCUUGGAGCCGCCGCUGACGAGUCCCGGGGUCGUACGGCCGAGGUGGGUGUGGCGAGCGGGGGUGGCCGGGCGGGCGGGCGGAGACGGCGUUUCCUUCUGGCCUUCCGCCCGCGGCCCCCGAGGCCUUGGCGGCCGUCGCACCAACGGACACCGCGCGCGAGCGACGACAGGGUGUGGCGGGGACGCGGACCAGUGCGCCUGCGCGCGGGGAGCGGNNNNNNNNNNNNNNNNNNNNNNNNNNNNNNNNNNNGGGCGCCGCUCCCCGCCCCCGCGCUCGGAAUUCCUGGGCCCCGAGCACCCCUUUCUUCAGCUCCCAUUGACCCGGCGGUUCCACCGGAGGACCGCGUUGCCCCGGGCGACGGGCCCCCUUGCUCUUUCUUCGCCGCCUCGCCCGGCUCCCCGGGACGUGGUGUGCAGGCCUGGCGCGCCGCGGCCGGGGCGGUGGCUCCGGCGCCGAUGGCUAGGAUCGGGAUCCGGGCAGGCUGUUCCUCCCCCCGGCGUCCUUGUUUGCUUUCCUUGGGCUCGCGGGACGGCCAGGUGCUCCGCUCGCAUCCGCGUCUCCUUCCUCCCCCUCAGACCUGCCCGGAAACCUCCCUUCCGAGUUGCGCCAGACCUUACCCUAAGUCUUCCUGUCCUGGGCUCCCCCUCAAUGCCCCCAAUCUCUCGGGACCGCAGACCUCUGCGCCCCUACUCUUUCGCUCACCCCCAUUCCGUCUCUUCCCUGAGGCCCUUUCUUCUUUCAGACUCCUGUUCCUGUCGCCCCACUUGUAG